rnacentral:rRNA from 1 species
AUUGAACGCUGGCGGCAUGCCUUACACAUGCAAGUCGAACGGUAACAGGUCUUCGGAUGCUGACGAGUGGCGAACGGGUGAGUAAUACAUCGGAACGUGCCUAGUAGUGGGGGAUAACUACUCGAAAGAGUGGCUAAUACCGCAUGAGAUCUACGGAUGAAAGCAGGGGAUCGCAAGACCUUGUGCUACUAGAGCGGCCGAUGGCAGAUUAGGUAGUGGGUGGGAUAAAAGCUUACCAAGCCGACGAUCUGUAGCUGGUCUGAGAGGACGAUCGCCCACACUGGGACUGAGACACGGCCCAGACUCCUACGGGAGGCAGCAGUGGGGAAUUUUGGACAAUGGGCGAAAGCCCGAUUCAGCAAUGCUGCGUGCAGGAUGAAGGCCUUCGGGUUGUAAACUGCUUUUGUACGGAACGAAAAGCCCCGGGUUAAUACCCUGGGGUCAUGACGGUACCGUAAGAAUAAGCACCGGCUAACUACGUGCCAGCCGCCGCGGUAA